GACGAACGCUGGCGGCAUGCCUUACACAUGCAAGUCGAACGGCAGCGCGGGAGCAAUCCUGGCGGCGAGUGGCGAACGGGUGAGUAAUAUAUCGGAACGUGCCCAGUAGUGGGGGAUAGCCCGGCGAAAGCCGGAUUAAUACCGCAUGAGACCUGAGGGUGAAAGCGGGGGAUCGCAAGACCUCGCGCUAUUGGAGCGGCCGAUAUCAGAUUAGCUAGUUGGUGGGGUAAAGGCCUACCAAGGCAACGAUCUGUAGUUGGUCUGAGAGGACGACCAGCCACACUGGGACUGAGACACGGCCCAGACUCCUACGGGAGGCAGCAGUGGGGAAUUUUGGACAAUGGGCGCAAGCCUGAUCCAGCAAUGCCGCGUGCAGGAAGAAGG
rnacentral:rRNA from 1 species